AUUGAACGCUGGCGGCAUGCCUUACACAUGCAAGUCGAACGGCAGCACGGGAGCAAUCCUGGUGGCGAGUGGCGAACGGGUGAGUAAUGUAUCGGAACGUGCCCAGUCGUGGGGGAUAACGUAGCGAAAGCUACGCUAAUACCGCAUACGAUCUAUGGAUGAAAGCGGGGGAUCGCAAGCCCUCGCGCGAUUGGAGCGGCCGAUAUCAGAUUAGGUAGUUGGUGGGGUAAAGGCUCACCAAGCCGACGAUCCGUAGCUGGUCUGAGAGGACGACCAGCCACACUGGGACUGAGACACGGCCCAGACUCCUACGGGAGGCAGCAGUGGGGAAUUUUGGACAAUGGGCGCAAGCCUGAUCCAGCAAUGCCGCGUGCAGGAUGAAGGCCUUCGGGUUGUAAACUGCUUUUGUACGGAACGAAACGGCGAGCUCUAAUACAGUUUGCUAAUGACGGUACCGUAAGAAUAAGCACCGGCUAACUACGUGCCAGCAGCCGCCGUAA
rnacentral:rRNA from 1 species